rnacentral:misc_RNA from 1 species
CCCCCUUGCGGGAGGCCUCGCGUUUUCACAUAAAACUCGAUACAGUGUACAACGUUCUUUUGCGAUCACACGCAAUCAAUACAACUUUCAACAACGGAUCUCUUGGCUCUCGCAUCGAUGAAAAACGCAGCGAAAUGCGAUACGUAAUGUGAAUUGCAGAAUUCAAUGAAUCAUCGAAUCUUUGAACGCACCUUGCGCCCCUUGGCAUUCCGAGGGGCACACCCGUUUGAGUGUCGUGAAAUCCUCAAAAACCCUUUUCCUGUCAGGAAUGGGAUUUUUGGACUUGGAGGUUCAAUGCUUGCCUUUCACUUUUGAAAGUGAGCUCCUCUCAAAUGAAUUACUGGGGUCCGCUUUGCUGAUCCUUAACGUGAUAAGAUGCUUCUACGUUUUGGAUCUAGCAUUGUCCCUUGGACGCCUGCU